rnacentral:tRNA from 1 species
GCCUGGGUGGCUCAGUCAGUUGAGCGUCUGACUUCGGCUCAGGUCAUGAUCUCACGGUUCGUGGGUUCGAGCCCCGCAUCAGGCU